rnacentral:rRNA from 1 species
AGUGAACGCUGGCGGUAGGCCUAACACAUGCAAGUCGAACGGCAGCACAGUAAGAGCUUGCUCUUACGGGUGGCGAGUGGCGGACGGGUGAGGAAUACAUCGGAAUCUACUUUUUCGUGGGGGAUAACGUAGGGAAACUUACGCUAAUACCGCAUACGACCUACGGGUGAAAGCAGGGGAUCUUCGGACCUUGCGCGAUCGAAUGAGCCGAUGUCGGAUUAGCUAGUUGGCGGGGUAAAGGCCCACCAAGGCGACGAUCCGUAGCUGGUCUGAGAGGAUGAUCAGCCACACUGGAACUGAGACACGGUCCAGACUCAUACGGGAGGCAGCAGUGGGGAAUAUUGGACAAUGGGCGCAAGCCUGAUCCAGCCAUACCGCGUGGGUGAAGAAGGCCUUCGGGUUGUAAAGCCCUUUUGUUGGGAAAGAAAAGCAGCAGGUUAAUACCCCGCUGUUCUGACGGUACCCAAAGAAUAAGCACCGGCUAACUUCGUG